AUGGUUUCCUCGGGUCCCCCGAACCCAAUGGGACCUGGGCAGCCAAUGGGUGCUGCUUCUCUUCUCCGGACGAAUUCCAGCCUGCUCAGUGGUGGCCAGCAGGGAAUGGGUAGCGGCGGCAUGCUUCAGUCACAGUCCCCAUUCUCAUCUCUUGUUUCCCCGCGCACACAGUUUAGUGGGAAUGGCCUGCUUGGAGGAUCCUCGAAUGCCUCCCCCCUGCUCAACAGGCAGUCCUUUGGAAACGGAGGCACUGUGCCGGGUCCAGGGCAAAUGGCUAAUGGCGGGCUUCCGAUGAAUACGCUUCAGCAAAGAGGGGGGCUUGAUGGUGCUGGUGACUUGAUUGGCAUGGGUGGAUCUGAUCCUAUGUCAUCCUCCCAGGUUAGUUUGGGCAAUCACCUAGGUUCAGAUAACUUGCAGCAGCAGCAGAAGAUGGAUAUGCAGGAUUUGCAACAGCAGCAGCAGCACCACCAACAACUACCGAUGUCUUACAAUCAGCAGCAAUUGUCAACGCAACCGCUGCAGCUGCAUGCUACAGUGAAGAUGGAGAAUGGCGGCAGCAUAGGUGGAGUCAAAUUAGAACAGCAGAUGGGACAGCUUGACCAAAAUGGCCCAGCCCAGAUGAUGCGCAAUGCUGGCAAUGUAAAAUUUGAGCCACAUCAGUUGCAAUCGUUGAGGGGUUUGGGUGCGGUGAAGAUGGAGCAACCGAAUUCAGAUCCAUCAGCAUUCUUGCAGCAACAGCAGCAGCAGCAGCAGCAGCACCAUUUGUUACAGCUUACGAAGCAGAACCCUCAAGCUGCUGCGGCUGCCCAACUGAACCUUUUGCAACAACAGCGUAUCAUGCAUAUGCAGCAGCAGCAACAACAACAGAUUCUGAAGAACCUUCCUUUACAGAGAAAUCAAUUACAGCAGCAGCAGCAGCAGCAGCAGCAGCAACAUCAACAUCAGCAGCAGCAGUUACUUCGUCAACAAAGUCUAAACAUAAGAACUCCAGGAAAGCCGGCUUCCUAUGAGCCAGGUACCUGUGCAAAGAGACUGACCCAUUACAUGUAUCAUCAACAAAACAGGCCACAGGAUAAUAAUAUUGAGUACUGGAGAAACUUUGUCAAUGAGUAUUUCGCGCCAACUGCCAAAAAGAGGUGGUGUGUAUCUCUCUACGGAACUGGUCGUCAAACUACUGGAGUUUUCCCUCAGGAUGUCUGGCACUGUGAAAUAUGCAAUCGGAAGCCUGGCCGGGGCUUUGAGACAACAGUUGAGGUCUUACCGCGAUUAUGCCAAAUCAAAUAUGCGAGUGGUACAUUGGAAGAACUAUUGUAUAUUGAUAUGCCACGUGAAUCCAAAAAUGCAUCUGGUCAGAUUGUUUUGGACUAUACUAAAGCAAUCCAGGAAAGUGUCUUUGAGCAAUUGCGUGUCGUACGCGAGGGGCAUCUAAGGAUAAUUUUUAAUCCAGACCUCAAGAUUGCAUCUUGGGAGUUCUGUGCUAGGCGUCAUGAGGAACUUAUCCCACGGAGGUCAAUAGUACCGCAGGUUAGUCAGCUUGGCGCGGUUGUACAAAAGUACCAGGCUGCUGCUCAUACUCCAACGAGUUUAACAACUCAGGACAUGCAGAAUAAUUGCAACUCGUUUGUUGCAUGUGCCCGGCAACUGGCUAAAGCUCUGGAGGUGCCUUUGGUAAAUGAUUUAGGAUACACAAAACGAUAUGUCCGCUGCCUUCAGAUUGCAGAGGUGGUAAACUGUAUGAAAGAUUUGAUUGACCACAGCAAGCAGACUGGAUCUGGACCAAUCGAUAGCCUGCAUAAAUUUCCUCGGAGGACUCCAUCAGGGAUCAACCCUCUUCAACCACAGCAGCAACAACCUGAAGAACAGCAAUCUGUUCCGCAGAGUUCAAACCAGAGUGGCCAAAAUUCUGCCCCUAUGGCUGGUGCGCAGGCUUCUGCCUCUGCCAAUGCAGAUGUGACAUCAAAUAAUUCUCUCAGUUGUGCACCCUCUACAUCUGCACCCUCACCAACUGUUAUGGGGAUCCUGCAAGGUUCAAUUGAUUCUAGCCAAGAUCAUCUAAUGAGCAGUGCAAAUGGUCAGUAUAACAGUGGGAAUAAUGGUGCAAUUCCCAAGGUGAACUCCGCAAGUUCAUUACAGUCAAAUCCUUCUACCUCUUUCCCUUCCCAGGUACCUAUAUCAUCCAAUAACAACAUGAUGCCUGCCCUUCAGAAUACAAACCAACUCAGUUCCCCAGCAGUAUCAUCAAACUUGCCGCCAAUGCAGCCUCCUGCAACUCGAUCUCAGGAGCCUGAGCAAAGUGAUGCCCAAAGCUCGGUUGAGAGAAUCUUGCAAGAGAUGAUGUCAUCACAAAUGAAUGGUGUUGGCCAUGCAGGGAAUGACAUGAAGAGACCAAACGGAUUUACCCCUGGUAUUAACGGGGUUAACUGCUUACUUGGUAAUGCUGUCACAAAUCACUCUGGAGUCGGAGGAAUGGGGUUGGGGGCCAUGGGUGGGUUUGGUUCAAAUCCUACAGCUAAUGGGUUGAGAAUGGCAGUGACAAACAAUGCAAUGGCAAUGAACGGGAGGAUGGGAAUGCAUCACAGUGCACAUGACCUAUCACAGUUGGGCCAGCAGCAGCAGCAGCAGCAGCAGCAGCAGCAGCAGCAGCAGCAGCAGCAUGACAUAGGAAAUCAGCUGUUGGGUGGACUUAGAGCAGGAAAUAGCUUCAAUAAUCUUCAGUAUGAUUGGAAACCCUCUCAAUAG
rnacentral:rRNA from 1 species